GAAGGGCAAAAUGGUAAAUCCACAUGCUCAUGAAACCCACCUGCGGCGUGCCAGUAUGCCGCACACUCCAUUUGGCUUUAGAAAUUUGUCUCCCCACCUCAUUUGCGAGAGAGAGGGGGGGAGAGAGAGAGAGAGAGAGAGAGAACAGAGCGACGGCGAAGAGAGUGAGCUCGCCGAAAGUGGUGAUCGGAGGAGCUAUACUUGUAUGCAAUCCUGAUUUCCAGCUAAGCAAAGGCAAGCAACUCUAAAGAGAAAAAGGGAUUGAGAGGUGAAUGUGGGCUGGACUAAAGAGCAGGAAUGCCGGCUUAGUAUUGUACUUUUAUAGUAGAAUAUUUCGGUAUUUAUUUGCCUAUAUUUCUAUAUAAAUCAUGAGAGCAGGUCCUUAUUACCUGCUCUAUAUAAAUAUAAUUUUUGUAUCCUUUAUGCGUAGGGGAGCUCUGCCAAGCGCAGGUAAGAGCCAUCAACUAGGAUGGCUGAUACAAUGUAGCAUAAUAUAAUAUUAUAGAAUUACAUGGUU